UACAGAGGGGGCAAGCGUUGUUCGGAAUUACUGGGCGUAAAGGGCGCGUAGGCGGCCUUCUAAGUCGAACGUGAAAUCCCCGGGCUCAACCCGGGAACUGCGUCCGAUACUGGAAGGCUUGAAUCCGGGAGAGGGAUGUGGAAUUCCAGGUGUAGCGGUGAAAUGCGUAGAUAUCUGGAGGAACACCGGUGGCGAAGGCGACAUCCUGGGCCGAUACUGACGCUGAGGAGCGAAAGCAUGGGUAGCGAACAGG
rnacentral:rRNA from 1 species